rnacentral:rRNA from 1 species
CCCUUGGAACAGGGCGUCAUAGAGGGUGAGAAUCCCGUACUUGACAUGAAUUACCAGUGCUCUGUGAUACAUUUUCAAAGAGUCGAGUUGUUUGGGAAUGCAGCUCAAAAUGGGUGGUAAAUUCCAUCUAAAGCUAAAUAUUGGCGAGAGACCGAUAGCGAACAAGUACCGUGAGGGAAAGAUGAAAAGCACUUUGGAAAGAGAGUUAAACAGUAUGUGAAAUUGUUAAAAGGGAAACGAUUGAAGUCAAUCAUGUCCUUGGGUCUUACCACCCUUGGAUGGGGUCAACAUCAGUUUUGAUCGGUGGAUAAGGAUAGGAGGAAGGUAGCACUCUCGGGUGAACUUAUAGCCUCCUGUCGCAUACACUGGUUGAGACUGAGGUCUGCUAUUACAGGAUGUUGACAUAAUGGCUUUAAACGACCCGUCUUGAAACACGGACCA